rnacentral:rRNA from 1 species
GUGGGGAAUAUUGGUCAAUGGACGGAAGUCUGAACCAGCCAAGUAGCGUGCAGGAUGACUGCCCUAUGGGUUGUAAACUGCUUUUAUACGGGGAUAAAGUCAGGGUCGUGACCCUGUUUGCAGGUACCGUAUGAAUAAGGACCGGCUAAUUCCGUGCCAGCAGCCGCGGUAAUACGGAAGGUCCAGGCGUUAUCCGGAUUUAUUGGGUUUAAAGGGAGCGUAGGCCGGAGAUUAAGUGUGUUGUGAAAUGUAGAUGCUCAACAUCUGCACUGCAGCGCAUACUGGUUUCCUUGAGUACACGCAACGUUGGCGGAAUUCGUCGUGUAGCGGUGAAAUGCUUAGAUAUGACGAAGAACUCCGAUUGCGAAGGCAGCUGACGGGAGUGCAACUGACGCUGAAGCUCGAAAGUGCGGGUAUCGAACAGG